rnacentral:rRNA from 1 species
GACGAACGCUGGCGGCGUGCUUAACACAUGCAAGUCGUACGGUAAGGCCCUUUCGGGGGUACACGAGUGGCGCACGGGUGAGUAACACGUGAGUAACCUGCCCACAACUUUGGGAUAACGCUAGGAAACUGGUGCUAAUACUGGAUAUGUGCUCCUGCUGCAUGGUGGGGGUUGGAAAGCUCCGGCGGUUGUGGAUGGACUCGCGGCCUAUCAGCUUGUUGGUGGGGUAGUGGCCUACCAAGGCGGCGACGGGUAGCCGGCCUGAGAGGGUGACCGGCCACAUUGGGACUGAGAUACGGCCCAGACGCCUACGGGAGGCAGCAGUGGGGAAGAUUGCACAAGGGGCGCAAGCCGGAUGCAGCAACGCCGCGUGCGGGAGGACGGCCUUCGGGUUGGAAACCGCUUUCAGCAGGGACGAAGCUUUUUGUGACGGUACCUGCAGAAGAAGCACCGGCUAACUACGUG